AUGACGUCCAGGUUGGCCUUUCCUGGAGCAUCUGGGGAGAGGAGCAGGAGAUAGAGCCCAUUGGUGUAGAAAGUGAACAGCCAGCAAGGGACCAGGGAGGAACUGAAGUCUGCUGCCCGGGCAGGGGCAGACACACGCUGUGAAAAGCCGCCUGCAUGACGGUCACUGCCCCCUUCCGCGUCAUGGCCGAGCUGCCAUCUUCCCCCUCCCCCCACCUCAUACCCUGGGAAACUACACCAAGUGAUCAUUCUAGACAGCAAGAGCAGCUGAGACUCUCUCUGGAGAGAAUGCCAGGCGGCAGCUUCCCAGCCACCAGCUGCAUUUGCGGGACUGGGAUUUGAGACAACCCUCGUCCGCCCAGAGAGGAGGCUCUAAUUACAAUCAACAU
rnacentral:lncRNA from 10 species